rnacentral:rRNA from 1 species
CCUACGGGUGGCAGCAGUGAGGAAUAUUGGUCAAUGGACGAGAGUCUGAACCAGCCAAGUAGCGUGAAGGAUGACUGCCCUAUGGGUUGUAAACUUCUUUUGUCAAGGGAUAAAACGAGGCACGUGUGCCUUUUUGCAUGUACUUUAUGAAUAAGGAUCGGCUAACUCCGUGCCAGCAGCCGCGGUAAUACGGAGGAUCCGAGCGUUAUCCGGAUUUAUUGGGUUUAAAGGGAGCGUAGAUGGGUUGUUAAGUCAGUUGUAAAAGUUUGCGGCUCAACCGUAAAAUUGCAAUUGAUACUGGCAGUCUUGAGUACAGUAGAGGUAUGCGGAAUUCGUGGUGUAGCGGUGAAAUGCUUAGAUAUCACGCAGAACCCCGAUUGCGAAGGCAGCUUACUAAACUGUGACUGACACUGAUGCACGAAAGUGUGGGUAUCAAACAGGAUUAGAUACCCGGGUAGUC